AUUGAACGCUGGCGGCGUGCCUAACACAUGCAAGUCGAACGCGAAAGUUUCUUCGGAAAUGAGUAGAGUGGCGCACGGGUGAGUAACGCGUGGAUUAUCUACCUACUGGUACGGGACAACAGUUGGAAACGACUGCUAAUACCGUAUACGCUGGUAACGGGAAAGGGGGCCUCUUCUUGAAAGCUCUCGCCAGUAGAUGAGUCCGCGUUUCAUUAGCUAGACGGUGGGGUAACGCCUACCGUGGCAACGAUGAAUAGCAGGCCUGAGAGGGUGGCCUGCCACACUGGGACUGGAACACGGCCCAGACUCCUACGGGAGGCAGCAGUGGGGAAUAUUGCGCAAUGGACGAAAGUCUGACGCAGCGACGCCGCGUGGAGGAUGAAGGUUUUCGGAUCGUAAACUCCUGUCAAGAGGGAAGAAACCUAUCAUAAAUAAUACUUAUGGUAAUUGACGGUACCUCUAGAGGAAGCACCGGCUAAUUCAGUGCCAGCCGCCGCGGUAA
rnacentral:rRNA from 1 species